rnacentral:rRNA from 1 species
CUACGGGGCGCUGCAGGCGCGGAACCUUUACAAUGCACGAAAGUGUGAUAAGGGAAUCCCAAGUGCCUUGCUUUUAGCAAGGCUUUUGCCAUAUGUAAAAAGUAUGGCGAAUAAGUGGUGGGUAAGACUUGUGCCAGCCGCCGCGGUAACACCAGCGCCACAAGUGGCAACCGCUUUUAUUGGGCCUAAAGCGUCCGUAGCCGGUUCAGUAAAUUUUCUGUGAAAUCGUUGGGCUUAACCUAACGUCGUGCAGGAAAGACUACUGGACUAGGGACCGGGAGGCGUCAGAGGUAUUCCUGAGGGAGCGGUAAAAUGCUAUAAUCUCAGGAGGACCACCGAUGGCGAAGGCAUCUGACGAGAACGGAUCCGACGGUCAGGGACGAAAGCUAAGGGAGCAAACCGGAUUAGAUACCCUCGUAGUC